GAGUGGCGGACGGGUGAGUAAUACUUAGGAAUCUGCCCAGUAGUGGGGGACAACUCGAGGAAACUCGAGCUAAUACCGCAUACGCCCCAAGGGGGAAAGCGGAGGAUCUUUCGGGACUUCGCGCUAUUGGAUGAGCCUAAGUCGGAUUAGCUUGUUGGUGAAGUAAAAGCUCACCAAGGCGACGAUCCGUAGCUGGUCUGAGAGGACGAUCAGCCACACUGGGACUGAGACACGGCCCAGACUCCUACGGGAGGCAGCAGUGGGGAAUAUUGGACAAUGGGGGAAACCCUGAUCCAGCAAUGCCGCGUGUGUGAAGAAGGGCUGGGGGUUGUAAAGCACUUUCAGUAGAGAAGAAAAGCCUAGGGUUAAUACGCCUGGGUCUUGACGUUACCUACAGAAGAAGCUUCGGCUAACUCCGUGCCAGCAGCCGCGGUAAUACGGAGGGAGCGAGCGUUAAUCGGAAUUACUGGGCGUAAAGCGCGCGUAGGCGGCUUUGUAAGUCGGAUGUGAAAGCCCUGGGCUCCACCUGGGAAUGGCAUUCGAUACUGCAUAACUAGAGUAUGGUAGAGGGAAGUGGAAUUUCCCGGUGUGGC
rnacentral:rRNA from 1 species